CUUGUUUAGUACAUUGUCCUGAAUAUUAGUUAUUAGAUACAUUUUCUAGCUGCCUGGUGAUGGAAAGGUUUCAUUGUGCUAAUAAUACUGAUCCUCUCCGUAUCUCCGUGUUCUAAGUAACCAUCCUACUCAGUGAGGCAAUCGCUCCGGCAUGCCUAACAGCUAUGUCAAGGGCCCUUUUCUCUUGAAGUUGAUAAUAAAACCCUCUCUUGCAUAUCUUGGCUAAAGAAUAUGAAAUAGUUAAAUCAUAAAGGUCAAUGUUUGGUAACAAAGUCUCUACAAGUGCAGCCAUUACACAUUAUGGAAUUCCAUGUGAGAUCGUUAAGGUAAUAGAGAAAAAAAUAGAAAUAUUUGUCAAUUAUUCUCAAAGAGAAAUUUAUGAAAUUACACAGCACUAAAACAUCACUUUACCAUGGAUGGGUCUAUAAGAUGCGACUUGAAUUCAUGGCAAGAGAAACUCAUAGAAGAGUUUUUGAAGGGCAUUUUCAACUUAUGUACAAAUGUCAUAAGAAGUGUUGAAAGUCAGUUAAGAGAAUUUGGCAGAUUUUCUUGUGUUAUAAAUUUGUAUUAAAUUUAGUUUGUUUAAUUUGUCCUAAUGGACAUCAUAAAUCAACAGAAUCAUGUGGAUUUUACACAAUUCCUCACCCA
rnacentral:lncRNA from 1 species